GCAAGUCGAACGAUGAAGCCCUGCUUGCAGGGUGAAUUAGUGGCGAACGGGUGAGUAAUAUAUAGCUAACCUGCCCCUUAGAGAGGGACAACAGUUGGAAACGACUGCUAAUACCUCAUACUCCUUUCUGGCAUAUGUCAGAUUGGGAAAUGCUCCGGUGCUAAGGGAUGGGGCUUUACGGUAUCAGGUAGUUGGUGGGGUAAGAGCCUACCAAGCCUAUGACGCCUAGCUGGUCUGAGAGGAUGAAC
rnacentral:rRNA from 1 species